UUGACAUCACAGGCUAAUUUUUUUUAUCAUACAACACUUUCAAAAUCACAAAAUGCUAAUCACGUAAAUCGGAUUCUCUUCGAUUAAACGAUAAGUCGGACUCUCUUCGAUUAAAUGAUAUCUCUCUAAUCGUGGCCAAAAGCGGCUUCCAUGACAUCCCUGAUCUAGUCGAUCUUCUCAUAUUUUUCUUCUCGGGAUUAGAGCCAUCCUCUGAACCCUCACUCGACUCUUUGUCUUGUGGGCUAGCCGGUUCAGGGGCUGGCUUGGCCUUCUUAACCCGAGGGGGCUUGGCUAUGUUACUAAGACUCUUUUUAAGAGAUUUUCGGCUUGACUUGUUGACUUGUGUGCUACCAAAGUGGUUUGCCUAGGCUUGAGUUGGCUGGUCUUGGCUAUGUUGUUGAGCUUCUUUGUAAGACAAGUCAAGUCACUUGAUGACUCGUUUAACCGGAUAAAGGAGCAUGGUAG
rnacentral:lncRNA from 1 species